AGUGUCCUUACACCUGCUACAAGCCAGUCAACUCAACUGGCAUCAAGAUUGGAAUUCUGAAACGGAAUUCAAUUCGAAUCGUUUACGUAUUCCGUUUCAAACGCAACAAACGGAACGUACACGGAAUCGGUUGUUAAAAAAAACACUCCAGAAAUGAUACAACAAUUUUUGAGAAUUUAUUUUACGACUUUGAUUUACUUCAUUCUGAGCAAAAACAAAAUCCAGCAUUCUGAAUUUUAAAAUUCGGUCUUAUGGAUUUCAAAAAUUAUUUAUGUUUUGGAAUUUCGGAACUGAUGUUACUUGAGCAGGGAAACGUUAGCAGGGAAAAUUUUAGUUCUCGUAUUGGUCACCAGAUGGCGUCAUUGAAAUUCAAUUUCCCUGCUCACUUCACAUCGUCAGCAGGGAAAAAAUUGUGAAGACAGCAGGGAAAGUGAAAUUUCCCUGCUAACGUAAAUAGGAUUUUUUUAACUAUAAUUUUUAUCGUAAAUGCAAUCUUUUCAACAAUAUAUUUGCUUUGAUGUAUAAUUAGUUUUUUUACGUAUUUCAAUGCCUUCGAAUCUGAACAAAUAUUUUCCUUGCUAACGUAUCAGUUACUGAGCCAGAAGAAAAUUCAUGAAUCAUAAAUCACAAAAAUCGGCGUUUUCAAACCAAAAUAAUAAUUUAAGUUUAAAUUUACAUUCAAACUUUUAUACAAAUGUACUCAAAUAUGUUGGUGUAAAAUAUUUUCAAAUCAUUCCUGUUCUUCAAGUGUUCAGCAGUGAAUUCUAUCAUUGGGGCGUGGCUUAUUAUUGUGAUGAGCAUUUUUCUUGCUAACUUCACAGUAACCAAGCUUUUUGUUUUUUUUUAUACAGGCUAAGGUCAUGUAGAACUAUUUAAAAAAAUAAAUGAGUAGGUAUCUAUUUAAUUUAACACUAGCACAUUUUACUACCUUUUCAUAAAAGUACGAUUGUAAUGUAAACUCAAAUAAAUAUUUUGUUUGAAAUAACAAUAUCACAUCUUUUCUGGUUGGAUAACUCUUAAAGAUUUGGAUUUCCUUGCAAAUAUUUCUGUACCAUUAACCGCUUGGUAUUAGAAUUUUAUUUUAAAACAAUUAAAUUUCUAUUUUUUCGAAAUUUAUAUUUUUUUUUCAGACAGUCCCAGAAUCAAUUUUUUAAGUGAAGUCCCAGACAAAUCAAAAUUUUUUCCCUGCUAACGUAACAGUUUACUGAGUUAAGUGUUACUUCAGCAGGGAAAACGUAGGCCACGUCCCGCAAACGACCCACAACGUCGUCAGCAGGGCAAAUAGUUGUGAAGACCGCAGAUUUAUGUUUUUUUACAGGGCCAUGUAUGGUGGCAAAGCUUUCACCUCAUAUGCGGUAGUUUGAGAGUUCAAUUGCAUUUGAUAUUUUUUCCCGAACUUAUAUGGACACCUUAGGGAAAUCAACCAAUACCGUAAACUGGGGUCAAUCGGGACACAUGGGGCGAAUUAGGACAGCAGAGACAUGAAAUGACAUGAGAAUCGAUUCCAUCAAACAAAUCAUGAAAAUGUUGGCAAUUGUUAAUUAGACGAUUAAAAAUGUAAAAAUUGAGCAAAAAGGGUUGGUCAAGCCUGAUUUAGCUAAUGGAGGAGAAGCUGUAUAUUUUUCAUGUUAAAUAACGUAACAGUUACUGAGCCAGAAAUAAACUUGCCAGAAGAAGCUAGUGUAAAAUUAAAUACAAACUACUAAUUUAUUUUUUAAAUAGUUCUACACAGACCUUAGCUUGUAUAUAAAAAAAACAAAAAGCUUGGUAACUGUGACAAAAAAAAACUGUGAAGUUAGCAAGGAAAAUGCUCAUCACAAUAAUAAGCCACGCCCCAAUGAUAGAAUUCACUGCUGAACACUUGAAGAACAGGAAUGAUUUGAAAAUAUUUUACACCAACAUAUUUGAGUACAUUUGUAUAAAAGUUUGAAUGUAAAUUUAAACUUAAAUUAUUAUUUUGGUUUGAAAACGCCGAUUUUUGUGAUUUAUGAUUCAUGAAUUUUCUUCUGGCUCAGUAACUGAUACGUUAGCAAGGAAAAUAUUUGUUCAGAUUUGAAGGCAUUGAAAUACGUAAAAAAACUAAUUUAAGAGCGAGUUUUUCACCGAUGUGAAACAGGUCGUAUCGAGCAGAAUCUACAAAUACUGCCUCUUAAAUACAUCAAAGCAAAUAUAUUGUUGAAAAGAUUGCAUUUACGAUAAAAAUUAUAGUUUAAAAAAUUCCUAUUUGCGUUAGCAGGGAAAUUUCACUUUCCCUGCUGUCUUCACAAUUUUUUCCCUGCUGACGAUGUGAAGUGAGCAGGGAAAUUGGAUUUCAAUGACGCCAUCUGGUGACCAAUACGAGAACUAUAAUUUUCCCUGCUAACGUUUCCCUGCUGAAGUAAUAUCAGUAUUUCGGAUAGCAAAACAAUUGAAACUAUAGCUCUGCGUUAUUCAUUAAGAAGAAAUACUUCAAAUUUGUUUAUUACAUACUCACUAUCAUGAAUUUACGGUUCAAUUAGUUGCUCGUGUAUCUAAACUGGUUGAUGGAAACUAUUUUAGGAUCGCUAUAGACUUUUCCCUCGUUUUUCUCGAGUUGAAAGUUUAUGUGUUUAAUAUUGUUUGUUGGUUUAUCAUUGUUUAUUCUAGUGUAUGUAUCAAUUCACACAAACUCUGGGCAGCGGGGAUGUUUCUCCCCGCUUUAGCCUCAGAAUUGUGUGUUUUAUUUUAAUUUUUGCUUGCCCUUUGUUGAUCAUAAUUUUUUUGAUGUCGAAAUAGUAGAGGUUAAAUACAUUUAUAUGAUUUUUUUUUGUGUUUCACAUUCCAAACAGUUUAGUUUACUAAGAUUAUUUUUACCAUUUUUUUUUCUUUCUUUUUCUCACGGUUUAAUGCGAAGAAGAGUAGGAACAUAAAAAGAUUGAAAAUAAUUUUCCAGAUACUUCUCCAUUUUCCCUAAAUUGACCGUCAACAAACAAGUUGGAUUGCCAAAUGCUUCUAGUUUUUUUUAUUUUGCUUUUUCCUGAAUAGUUCCUGUUAGUUUAAAAUUGGGAGGAAAUAAUACGGUCAGUGUGUUGAGGAUUACCUUCUGAUACGAACAUUUUUCAAAGAUCCUGGCAAAGGUUGAUAGUUAUACGUUUAGUUUUUUCUCAAUUUGUUUUCUUGAUUUAGUUUUUAUCUUCAUGUAGUGCGAUAUAUUUCAGAUCAAAAGUGA